rnacentral:rRNA from 1 species
AUUGAACGCUGGCGGCAUGCUUUACACAUGCAAGUCGAACGGUAACAGGGAGCUUGCUCCGCUGACGAGUGGCGAACGGGUGAGUAAUGCGUCGGAACGUGCCGAGUAGUGGGGGAUAACGCAUCGAACGGUGUGCUAAUACCGCAUACGAACUGAGGUUGAAAGUGGGGGAGCUUCGGGACUCACGCGAUGCGAGCGGCCGAGGUCUGAUUAGCUAGUUGGUGAGGUAAAGGCUCACCAAGGCGACGAUCAGUAGCGGGUCUGAGAGGAUGAUCCGCCACACUGGGACUGAGACACGGCCCAGACUCCUACGGGAGGCAGCAGUGGGGAAUUUUGGACAAUGGGCGCAAGCCUGAUCCAGCCAUGCCGCGUGUCUGAAGAAGGCCUUCGGGUUGUAAAGGACUUUUGUCCGGGAGCAAAUACCUGGUGUUAAUAGCGCCAGGGGCUGAGAGUACCGGAAGAAUAAGCACCGGCUAACUACGUGCCAGCAGCCGCCGUAAGAC